GGGGGCGUUUUGGAUUCGACGGGGAUUGUUCGAGCAUGAACGGCGGGUCGUGGGGCUGCGAGGCCACGUAAAAAACGCGGAUCGAAAUUAACUGGCAAAGCUAAGAAGAGCUUCAACAACAACCUCGCCCUGGCUGCCUAAUUGGCUCCAGGCCGUUACCUUGUGAUGGGUCCGUGAUCACCUGGUGACGUCAACGAAACGGACUGGUUAAUCGCUGUGCUCGACGGCGGUUAACGAGAAAAACGAGCUCACCUGCAGGCAAGCGUGUGCAUCCGCGUGCCGCAGGGACAGGACAAUAGAUGUACUACACCCGUAGAAGUUCAUGUAGCGAGGUCUUCGGACGCGGGUUCGACUCCCGUCGCCUCCACCA
rnacentral:tmRNA from 1 species